rnacentral:rRNA from 1 species
UACGUAGGGAGCAAGCGUUGUCCGGAAUCAUUGGGCGUAAAGCGCGCGUAGGUGGCUUCGUAAGUCCGUUGUGAAAGUCAAAGGCUCAACCUUUGAAAGCCGAUGGAUACUGUGAAGCUAGAGUACGGAAGAGGCGAGUGGAAUUCCUGGUGUAGCGGUGGAAUGCGCAGAUAUCAGGAGGAACACCGGUGGCGAAGGCGGGUCUCUGGGCAGUAACUGACGCUGAGAAGCGAAAGCGUGGGGAGCGAACAGG